GAGUUUGAUCAUGGCUCAGAUUGAACGCUGGCGGCAUGCCUUACACAUGCAAGUCGAACGGCAGCACGGGAGCAAUCCUGGUGGCGAGUGGCGAACGGGUGAGUAAUAUAUCGGAACGUGCCCAGUCGUGGGGGAUAACGUAGCGAAAGCUACGCUAAUACCGCAUACGAUCUACGGAUGAAAGCGGGGGACUCGCAAGAGCCUCGCGCGAUUGGAGCGGCCGAUAUCAGAUUAGGCUGUUGGUGAGGUAAAAGCUCACCAAGCCUGCGAUCUGUAGCUGGUCUGAGAGGACGACCAGCCACACUGGAACUGAGACACGGUCCAGACUCCUACGGGAGGCAGCAGUGGGGAAUUUUGGACAAUGGACGCAAGUCUGAUCCAGCAAUGCCGCGUGCAGGACGAAGGCCUUCGGGUUGUAAACUGCUUUUGUACGGAACGAAACGGUCUUCUUUAAUACAGAGGGCUAAUGACGGUACCGUAAGAAUAAGCACCGGCUAACUACGUGCCAGCAGCCGCGGUAAUACGUAGGGUGCGAGCGUUAAUCGGAAUUACUGGGCGUAAAGCGUGCGCAGGCGGUUAUAUAAGUCAGAUGUGAAAUCCCCGGGCUCAACCUGGGACCUGCAUUUGAGACUGUAUAGCUAGAGUACGGUAGAGGGGGAUGGAAUUCCGCGUGUAGCAGUGAAAUGCGUAGAUAUGCGGAGGAA
rnacentral:rRNA from 1 species